AAUACAUGCAAGUCGAGCGGACAGAAGGGAGCUUGCUCCCGGACGUUAGCGGCGGACGGGUGAGUAACACGUAGGUAACCUGCCCCUUAGACUGGGAUAACUCCGGGAAACCGGAGCUAAUACGGGAUAAUAAAGAGAAUCACCUGAUUCUCUUUUGAAAGACGGUUUCGGCUGUCACUAAGGGAUGGGCCUGCGGCGCAUUAGCUAGUUGGUAAGGUAACGGCUUACCAAGGCGACGAUGCGUAGCCGACCUGAGAGGGUGAUCGGCCACACUGGGACUGAGACACGGCCCAGACUCCUACGGGAGGCAGCAGUAGGGAAUCUUCCGCAAUGGACGAAAGUCUGACGGAGCAACGCCGCGUGAGUGAGGAAGGCCUUCGGGUCGUAAAGCUCUGUUGUGAGGGAAGAACAAGUACCGGAGUAACUACCGGUACCUUGACGGUACCUCACCAGAAAGCCACGGCUAACUACGUGCCAGCAGCCGCGGUAAUACGUAGGUGGCAAGCGUUGUCCGGAAUUAUUGGGCGUAAAGCGCGCGCAGGCGGCUUCUUAAGUCUGAUGUGAAAUCUCGGGGCUCAACCCCGAGCGGCCAUUGGAAACUGGGAAGCUUGAGUGCAGAAGAGGAGAGUGGAAUUCCACGUGUAGCGGUGAAAUGCGUAGAUAUGUGGAGGAACACCAGUGGCGAAGGCGACUCUCUGGUCUGUAACUGACGCUGAGGCGCGAAA
rnacentral:rRNA from 1 species